rnacentral:tRNA from 1 species
GCCUGGGUGGCUCGGUCGGUUAAGCGUCUGACUUCGGCUCAGGUCAUGAUCUCACGGUCUGUGGGUUCGAGCCCCGCGUCGGGCU